rnacentral:rRNA from 1 species
GUCUUUUUGAAUUAAUAAUUUAAAGUCUAAUCUGCCCACUGAUAAUAAAUUAAAGGGCUGCAGUAUUUUGACUGUACAAAGGUAGCAUAAUCAUUAGUCUCUUAAUUAGUGACUUGUAUGAAAGAUUUGAUGAAAUAUAUACUGUCUCUUUUUAAUUAAUAGAAUUUAAUUUUUUAGUUAAAAAGCUAAAAUAUUUUUAAAAGACGAGAAGACCCUAUAGAGUUUAAUAUUUAAUUUAUAUUAAAAUUUUUUAUAAAAUUUAUAAUUUUAAUAUAUAUGAAUAUUUUGUUGGGGUGACAAAAAAAUUAAAAUAACUUUUUUUUUUAAUUUUACAUUAAUAAAUGAUUAAUUGAUCCGUAAUUUACGAUUAUAAGAAAAAAUUACCUUAGGGAUAACAGCGUAAUUUUUUUUUUUAGUUCAAAUAAGAAAAAGAGUUUGCGACCUCGAUGUUGGAUUAAGAUAAAAUUUAAAUGCAAAAGUUUAAAAUUUUUGAUCUGUUCGAUCAUUAAAAUCUUACA